rnacentral:ncRNA from 12 species
CCGCGCCCGCUACCUGACCGUCACGGCGAUCAGGUCUGUGCGAAUUGAAUCUGGUCGUGCCGCUGGCCUUUCAGGCCACCGCCAUGCGCAUCACGGAAACCUCCAGCGGAAUGGCUGGACAGGUCCGGCGCAGUUUCCUGGCUGAGCAAUCGGCUGGGCGACGUAGAUAGCACGAUAGGUCG